rfam:Nematostella vectensis strain CH2 x CH6 NEMVEscaffold_32_Cont5601, whole genome shotgun sequence.
GCCUCUGUAGCUCAGUGGUUAGAGCACUGGUCUCGUAAACAAGGGGUCGAGAGUUUGAGUCUCUCUAGAGGCU